CCUACGGGGUGCAGCAGUGGGGAAUAUUGCACAAUGGGCGCAAGCCUGAUGCAGCCAUGCCGCGUGUAUGAGGAAGGCCUUCGGGUUGUAAAGUACUUUCAGCGGGGAGGAAGGUGUUGUGGUUAAUAACCACAGCAAUUGACGUUACCCGCAGAAGAAGCACCGGCUAACUCCGUGCCAGCAGCCGCGGUAAUACGGAGGGUGCAAGCGUUAAUCGGAAUUACUGGGCGUAAAGCGCACGCAGGCGGUCUGUCAAGUCGGAUGUAAAAUCCACGGGCUCAACCUGGGAACUGCAUUCGAAACUGGCAGGCUAGAGUCUUGUAGAGGGGGGUAGAAUUCCAGGUGUAGCGGUGGAAUGCGUAGAGAUCUGGAGGAAUACCGGUGGCGAAGGCGGCCCCCUGGACAAAGACUGACGCUCAGGUGCGAGAGCGUGGGGAGCAAACAGGAUUAGAUACCCCCGUAGUC
rnacentral:rRNA from 1 species